CAGCAUAUUGCCCUCAUUAGAAACAACAAAGGAUUCUUAUAGGCCACAAGGUCUUCCUCCCAUCCAUGCUCUACUAGCACCCAUUACAACUGAAGUUACGUGAAGGCUGGAAGAACUUACCUGAUGGCCCUGCAUCUUGGCUCCAGAAGAUCCUGAAGGAAGAAAACAAACCUGAUGCACGCCGUUCCAGAUCACAGAGCCCUGGACUGGAUCCCGAGGGGCUGCCCAAGGAAGGGAAGCUCAAACCAAGAUGGAACAAACCCAAGGGGAGUUUUCUGGCUGCAGUUCUGCCUGAGCUGUUUGGAAGUCCCAUCCUGGGGGCCAGCAGUGCAGUGCAGGGCCUGGGCCUCGCUGCAGGUCUGCUGGAGCGCAGCCGCCCGCCUUCCCGUGCUCUCAGACCUCUUGCUUCCAGUCCAAGCACAUCCCACUUAAACGUCCCUCCUGGAUUUGGGCGCUUAAUAAGUCUUAGCAUUUUAUUAGCAGAUGCUAAUAGCAGUGGCUCAGAGCCACGUGCUUUGAAUUCAAAUCCUCCCCGGCUUAGCGUGCGCCGCUCAUCCUGCAGCAGCUAGGACACAGACAUCUCCUAUGUCCCAGCCUUUGAGCUCUCCCUGUAUGCUGCAGGCUGUGAGCAACACGGGAUGGGGACGGGGACACCAAAUGUGCAGCACCCCGACCUGCACCCAGGGAAGGAGGAGCCACCAUGUCCCAACAUGCCUCCAAAACCCUUCCCUCGUGCCUUCGCUGGACUCUGCACAGGAGAACAGCCCAGGCCUAGCUGGGCACAGGGCUGAGCCCAGCACACCACCAGAUGCUGCACGAGGGCUCUGCCUGAUGCUUUUACAUCAGGUGUGGAUGGGGAGGAA